GAUGAAGAACGUAGCGAAAUGCGAUACGUAAUGUGAAUUGCAGAAUUCAGUGAAUCAUCGAGUCUUUGAACGCACAUUGCGCCCCCUGGUAUUCCGGGGGGCAUGCCUGUCCGAGCGUCAUUGCUGCCCUCAAGCACGGCUUGUGUGUUGGGCCUCGUCCUCCUCCCGGGGGACGGGCCCGAAAGGCAGCGGCGGCACCGCGUCCGGUCCUCGAGCGUAUGGGGCUUCGUCACCCGCUCUUGUAGGCCCGGCCGGCGCUUGCCGACACAUCAAUCUUUUUUCCAGGUUGACCUCGGAUCAGGUAGGGAUACCCGCUGAACUUAAGCAUAUCAAUAAGCGGAGGA
rnacentral:misc_RNA from 1 species